CCAACAGGGAUUGCCCUAGUAACGGCGAGUGAAGCGGCAACAGCUCAAAUUUGAAAUCUGGCUCUCGGGCCCGAGUUGUAAUUUGUAGAGGAUNCUUUUGAUGCGGUGCCUUCCGAGUUCCCUGGAACGGGACGCCAUAGAGGGUGAGAGCCCCGUCUGGUUGGAUGCCAAAUCUCUGUNANGUUCCUUCGACGAGUCGAGUAGUUUGGGAAUGCUGCUCUAAAUGGAAAAAANAUGUCUUCUAAAGCUAAAUNCCGGCCAGAGACCGAUAGCGCNCAAGUAGAGUGAUCGAAAGAUGANANGCACUUUGAAAAGAGAGUUAAAAAGUACGUGAAAUUGUUGAAAGGGAAGCGUUUAUGACCAGACUUGGGCUUGGUUAAUCAUCUGGGGUUCUCCCCAGUGCACUUUUCCAGUCCAG
rnacentral:rRNA from 1 species